rnacentral:rRNA from 1 species
AGUGAACGCUGGCGGUAGGCCUAACACAUGCAAGUCGAACGGCAGCACAGUAAGAGCUUGCUCUUACGGGUGGCGAGUGGCGGACGGGUGAGGAAUACAUCGGAAUCUACUUUUUCGUGGGGGAUAACGUAGGGAAACUUACGCUAAUACCGCAUACGACCUACGGGUGAAAGCAGGGGAUCUUCGGACCUUGCGCGAUUGAAUGAGCCGAUGUCGGAUUAGCUAGUUGGCGGGGUAAAGGCCCACCAAGGCGACGAUCCGUAGCUGGUCUGAGAGGAUGAACAGCCACACUGGGACUGAGACACGGUCCAGGCCCCUACGGGAGGCAGCAGUGGGGAAUUUUGGACAAUGGGCGGAAGCCUGAUCCAGCCAUACCGCGUUGGGGAAGAAGGCCUUCGGGUUGUAAAACCCUUUUGUUGGGAAAGAAAAGCAGCAGGUUAAUACCCCGCUGGUCUGACGGUACCCAAAGAAUAAGCACCGGCUAACUUCGUG